ACGCUGGCGGCGUGCCUAAUACAUGCAAGUAGAACGCUGAAGACUGGUGCUUGCACUAGUCAGAUGAGUUGCGAACGGGUGAGUAACGCGUAGGUAACCUACCUUAUAGCGGGGGAUAACUAUUGGAAACGAUAGCUAAUACCGCAUGACAAUUAAGUACUCAUGUACUAAAUUUAAAAGGAGCAAUUGCUUCACUAUGAGAUGGACCUGCGUUGUAUUAGCUAGUUGGUGAGGUAACGGCUCACCAAGGCCACGAUACAUAGCCGACCUGAGAGGGUGAUCGGCCACACUGGGACUGAGACACGGCCCAGACUCCUACGGGAGGCAGCAGUAGGGAAUCUUCGGCAAUGGGGGCAACCCUGACCGAGCAACGCCGCGUGAGUGAAGAAGGUUUUCGGAUCGUAAAGCUCUGUUGUUAGAGAAGAACGGUAAUGGGAGUGGAAAAUCCAUUACGUGACGGUAACUAACCAGAAAGGGACGGCUAACUACGUGCCAGCAGCCGCGGUAAUACGUAGGUCUCGAGCGUUGUCCGGAUUUAUUGGGCGUAAAGCGAGCGCAGGCGGUUAUUUAAGUCUGAAGUUAGAGGCCGUGGCUCAACCAUGGUUCGCUUUGGAAACUGGAUAACUUGAGUGCAGAAGGGGAGAGUGGAAUUCCAUGUGUAGCGGUGAAAUGCGUAGAUAUAUGGAGGAACACCGGUGGCGAAAGCGGCUCUCUGGUCUGUAACUGACGCUGAGGCUCGAAAG
rnacentral:rRNA from 1 species